UCCAGUCUAUGAACACAUGUGCACAUUAUC
rnacentral:piRNA from 1 species